UUGAAUAACAAGCCGAAUUUCUUUACGAAAACGGGGGAACCAUGAUUUUAGGGGUGAAUUCCGCAAGUCCUUUAAGGGCUUGUAGAUAGGGUGCCUGUAAACCCGAAUCCGUCAGCUAACCUCGUAGGCUUUUUUUGCAGGAACC
rnacentral:sRNA from 2 species